GACGAACGCUGGCGGCGUGCUUAACACAUGCAAGUCGAACGGUAAGGCCCUUCGGGGUACACGAGUGGCGAACGGGUGAGUAACACGUGGGUGAUCUGCCCUGCACUUCGGGAUAAGCCUGGGAAACUGGGUCUAAUACCGGAUAGGACUCCGGACUGCAUGGUCUGGGGUGGAAAGCUUUUGCGGUGUGGGAUGGGCCCGCGGCCUAUCAGCUUGUUGGUGGGGUGAUGGCCUACCAAGGCGACGAGGGGUAGCCGGCCUGAGAGGGUGACCGGCCACACUGGGACUGAGAUACGGCCCAGGCUCCUACGGGAGGCAGCAGUGGGGAAUAUUGCGCAAUGGGCGCAAGCCUGAUGCAGCGACGCCGCGUGAGGGAUGACGGCCUUCGGGUUGUAAACCUCUUUCAGCACAGACGAAGCGCAAGUGACGGUAUGUGCAGAAGAAGGACCGGCCAACUACGUGCCAGCCGCCGCAGUAA
rnacentral:rRNA from 1 species